CUUCUUCGGGCAGCGCAAGGCCCCGGCGACACGUGAUGUCACAAGCCGGGGAGACGAGGUGGAGGUCAGCGACUUUUCUGCGGAUGCCUCCAGGCCCCGGUGAACGGGCCUACCCGGCGCGUGCUUUGCCGCUCUGAGUCAAAGACUCCGGCAGGCAGAACCACGCGCAAGCCCGGCG
rnacentral:ncRNA from 2 species